rnacentral:rRNA from 1 species
CCUUCGGGGGUGAAGCCUGUGGAAUGAGCGGCGGACGGGUGAGUAACACGUGGGCAACCUGCCUGUAAGAUCGGAAUAACUCCGGGAAACCGGGGCUAAUGCCGGGUAAUCCUUUAUCUCGCAUGAGAGGAAGGUAAAAGAUGGCUUCUAGCUAUCACUUACAGAUGGGCCCGCGGCGCAUUAGCUAGUUGGUGAGGUAACGGCUCACCAAGGCGACGAUGCGUAGCCGACCUGAGAGGGUGAUCGGCCACACUGGGACUGAGACACGGCCCAGACUCYUACGGGAGGCAGCMGUAGGGAAUCUUUCCGCAAUGGACGAAAGUCUGACGGAGCAACGCCGCGUGAACGAUGAAGGUCUUCGGAUCGUAAAGUUCUGUUGUUAGGGAAGAACAUGUACCGUUCAAACAGGGCGGUACCUUGACGGUACCUAACGAGGAAGCCCCGGCUAACUACGUGCCAGCAGCCGCGGUAAUACGUAGGGGGCAAGCGUUGUCCGGAAUUAUUGGGCGUAAAGCGCGCGCAGGCGGUUCCUUAAGUCUGAUGUGAAAGCCCACGGCUCAACCGUGGAGGGUCAUUGGAAACUGGGGAACUUGAGGACAGAAGAGGAGAGUGGAAUUCCACGUGUAGCGGUGAAAUGCGUAGAUAUGUGGAGGAACACCAGUGGCGAAGGCGACUCUCUGGUCUGUUUCUGACGCUGAGGUGCGAAAGCGUGGGUAGCAAACAGGAUUAGAUACCCUGGUAGUCCACGCCGUAAACGAUGAGUGCUAGGUGUUAGGGGGCUUCCACCCCUUAGUGCUGAAGUUAACGCAUUAAGCACUCCGCCUGGGGAGUACGGCCGCAAGGCUGAAACUCAAAGGAAUUGACGGGGGCCCGCACAAGCGGUGGAGCAUGUGGUUUAAUUCGAAGCAACGCGAAGAACCUUACCAGGUCUUGACAUCCUUGGAUCGCCCUAGAGAUAGGGUUUUCCCUUCGGGGACCAAGUGACAGGUGGUGCAUGGUUGUCGUCAGCUCGUGUCGUGAGAUGUUGGGUUAAGUCCCGCAACGAGCGCAACCCCUAAUCUUAGUUGCCAGCAUUCAGUUGGGCACUCUAAGGUGACUGCCGGUGACAAACCGGAGGAAGGCGGGGAUGACGUCAAAUCAUCAUGCCCCUUAUGACCUGGGCUACACACGUGCUACAAUG